rnacentral:rRNA from 1 species
UACAGAGGGUGCGAGCGUUGUCCGGAUUUAUUGGGCGUAAAGAGCGUGUAGGCGGUCUGGUAGGUCCGUUGUGAAAACUCGAGGCUCAACCUCGAGACGCCGAUGGAAACCAUCAGACUAGAGUCCGGAAGAGGAGAGUGGAAUUCCUGGUGUAGCGGUGAAAUGCGCAGAUAUCAGGAAGAACACCCGUGGCUAAGGCGGCUCUCUAGUACGGUACUGACGCUGAGACGCGAAAGCGUGGGGAGCGAACAGG